CCUACGGGGGGCAGCAGUGGGGAAUAUUGGACAAUGGGGGCAACCCUGAUCCAGCCAUGCCGCGUGUGUGAAGAAGGCCCUCGGGUUGUAAAGCACUUUCAGUGAGGAAGAACGCCUGGUGGUUAAUACCCAUCAGGAAAGACAUCACUCACAGAAGAAGCACCGGCUAACUCCGUGCCAGCAGCCGCGGUAAUACGGAGGGUGCGAGCGUUAAUCGGAAUUACUGGGCGUAAAGCGCGCGUAGGUGGCUUGAUAAGCCGGUUGUGAAAGCCCCGGGCUCAACCUGGGAACGGCAUCCGGAACUGUCAAGCUAGAGUGCAGGAGAGGAAGGUAGAAUUCCCGGUGGAGCGGUGAAAUGCGUAGAGAUCGGGAGGAAUACCAGUGGCGAAGGCGGCCUUCUGGACUGACACUGACACUGAGGUGCGAAAGCGUGGGUAGCAAACAGGAUUAGAUACCCUAGUAGUC
rnacentral:rRNA from 1 species